ensembl:lncRNA LOC120094286 uncharacterized LOC120094286
GGGGCAGGUUGUGAUGCCACUGAGGCUGUGACAUUGGAAACCUGUCUCUCAAAGGCUCUGACACCUGGACUGCAGGAGUACGCUGUGGAUCUGUGUCCCAUUUUGUGGAAGAGGGCAAAGUGGCCAGGGCAUGGAAUUGCACAUGGGGCGACCCCUGCAGUUCAAGAUGGACUAGGGAUUUGCUAAAGGAAGAAAGGGAGGAACUGGAGGUCAGACCUUGGCAACAAAGCUCAUAGUCACAUUGUGCACGGAGCGGCUGCCAGCGUGGGAAAACCUUAGCGCCGGAGUGGAAAUGUGGCCUGACAAACAAAGGCCACAUACCAAACGUGUAAAUUCACAGACACUGGAGAAAAAUGUCCCAAAUGAGUAUGUUUAAAAUGUUCAAGUUCUUACCCGCUGUCCUAAGAUCAACCCAAAUGCCAACUUAAGAGAAAAAAAAAAACAAAAAAAAAACAAAAACAAAAACUCAAACAGACAAUCGAGCAAACAAACAAAGAAGUCAUCAGUUCCCUUCCACCUUGACUCUUCCUGUUCCGAUAACUGGUGUUGCAGGUGUGCACCACACAGGCUAACAAUGGGUAACCUGUAGCCUCCAAAGUAGGCAACAAUGAAACAUUUUUAAAACAUUCUAGCUGUUGUUUUGAUACUUUAUUUUUAGUGUGUGUGUGUGUGCAGGUGUCUGAGGAGGCAAGAGGAGGGCAUCGGACCCCCUGGACGCGGAGUUACAGGUCCAUCAGAUGUGAGUACUGCUUUCUGAUCCCUGUCCUCUGGAAGGGCUUCCAGCGCCCUUAACUGCCCAGCCAUCCUUUCAGCCUAAAAGCACCUACUUUAUUCUUCCACAGUAAGGCUUGCAUUUGAAUUGUUUUUCUUGCAUGGCUAUUCUCCUAUCCC